AGGAGACGACAUGGCGGCACAGUGACACAGCCUGGAGAUGGAAGCAGCAUGAGGAGGCCAUAAUCUGUCAGAAUGACACAGCCUGGAGAUGGUGGCAGCAUGAGGAGACCUGGAGGUGGUGGCAGCAUGAGGAGACCAUAUAGUGACUCAAUGACACAGCCUGGAAUUGGCAAAAACAUGAGGAGACCAUAUAGUGGCUGAAUGACACAGGCUGGAGCUGGCAUCAGCAUGAUGAGAACAUAUUGUGGCAGAAAGAGACAGAUUGGAGCUGGCAUAAACAUAAGGAGAACAUAUGGUGGCAGAAUGAGACAGUCUGGAGGUGGCAUCAGCAUGAGGAGAACAUAUAGUGGCAGAAUGAGACAGACUGGAGCUGGCAUAAGGAGAACAUAUGGUGGCAGAAUGAGACAGCCUGGAGCUGGCAUCAGCAUGAGGAGAACAUAUGGUGGCAGAAUUCUGAAAGUAACCCGGUGACAGAAUGUGGCGGUGAGUGGCAAUACCAGUACCCGUGACGAAGAGGAUGAGGAGCGGCUGGCAGAGUGAGGAACCAAUGAUGUCUAGGCAUCGAACUUUACAGAGGAAGAUGGAGCUGGAAGAAGAUCUGGCGUCUGGACCAGAUGAAGAAGAAAAGGAAAGACAACAGAGAAGAUGUCUCCUAGGAAGCCGGUGAGGGGAUCAUAGCGAGUGGACAUUGACUCAUGGACAAGCUGAUGGUGCUGCAGGACUGGUUAGUGUCCCAAUAGGUAUGGAGACCCCUUGUGUGGGAUUUUCAUGAGGCGUUUUCUUUAUUAAAUAUAAA